UACGAAGGGGGCUAGCGUUGCUCGGAAUCACUGGGCGUAAAGCGCACGUAGGCGGAUCUUUAAGUCAGGGGUGAAAUCCUGGAGCUCAACUCCAGAACUGCCUUUGAUACUGGGGAUCUCGAGUCCGGAAGAGGUAAGUGGAACUCCGAGUGUAGAGGUGAAACUCGUAGAUAUUGGGAAGAACACCGGUGGCGAAGGCGGCUCUCUGGACCGUAACUGACGCUGAGGCGCGAAAGCGUGGGGAGCAAACAGG
rnacentral:rRNA from 1 species